rnacentral:lncRNA from 1 species
UAAUAUAAGAACUUUCCAUUACUUAAAGGUCAUAAUACAAAAAAAACACUUCAUAAAUACAUGUCAAGGUAUCUACACAUGAAAACAAAAGAAUCACAAGAUACUAUCUUCAAACUCCUUGCCAACUAUUCCCAUUAUAAACAAUGUUGUCUCUGAAAUUGGAAAAAAAAAAAUGAAUGAAAGCAAGGCUUCAUUUCGAUAACAUGAUAUUGUGCAUGAAAGAGUUUGAGAAAAAUCUAGCAUCAUCUUGAAAGAUGGCAGAAAUUGAAGUUGUACAUAUCAUGAGUGCGAGAAAUUUUACUUUUUAGGGUAUUCAACAUUCAAUAAAAACUUCUUUUCUCACUGCCGGGGGAAAUUGUCACUAAUCAUCUCCAUAUGUACAAUAAACAAUUUUCAGUAGAUGGCCUUUUGAUUUACUUUUUCUCUCUAUGAAUAUAAACAUAAAGUACUAAUUACUAAGGCAGUCGAUGACUUAUGUAGCUCAAACAUUCUAAAUAUCAGCAAUUAUGUCUUACCUCUACGAUGAAUAAGUCCAAAAAAGAUGAGUAUUUCCAAGUGCCAUUGCAAACUUAUAGAAAAUUCAGUCACCUUGAAUAACAUAGAAAUUGAAACUUUUCAGAGGUACAGAACAAAGAAAAGGGUAAUGAAGUUCAUAAUAUAUAGCACCUAAAAUGAUUACAAUUCAAUUUUAGUUGCACAAUUGCAAUCAAAUGACUAUAAGAAAGAUAAUUUACCAUUCUUUAAAUUGAAGCUACCUGUUACUUAUUUAUUCAUGUUCUUAACAUUACAUUUACAUUUGCAAGCAUCUAGAUAACUCUAUAAGCAAGCUUUCCCUGUAACUACUUCUUUGAUUAGUCUUUAUAUAGCAUUUAGCUAUAUAAUUCAGAACCUUCUAUUUGUAAUAUAUCUAAUGCUAUAAAUAAGGCUUUCACCUUAAUAUCCUUAUUAUAAAAUCAAAUUUGCAAUAUUAAGUAGGACUCUUGUGAUCAACAUAUCUCAUUCUUCUUUUUCUUUUAUACAAUUUCUCUAAUACUAUCUAUAGUUUGAUCUGUGCUAAUAAAACACACAACAAUAGUAGAUGAUAAAGUAGACUAGAGAGUAUCAACAAAGAAAAUAUACAUCAAAUAUGUGUAGUAAAUUUCAUAAGCAACAAAAGAAAAGUCACAGAAGCUUACCACACUGGCAGUAGGAUGAACAGAUGAAACAGUCUUAGUAGCUAUGUAUAGAGACUGAUGAUGAGGAAGAAUUUCUUCUUUAUUCUUUAAUCCCCCCUCCUCCCAAAUACAUAAGUUAAAAAGUACUCCACGGCUACUAUAAAAUUUGUUAACAGGAACAAGAAAGAACAAGAGGAUUAAUAUCCUAUCUAGAAUGGGUUACCCUAUUUUAUAUUAUUCAAUUUACAUGGCAAGUAUUAACUAAUAACAAACCUCUACUAUCUGCAGCAAGUAUAUUUACAAUUAUUAUUUGAACUAACGAUGUACAUCUAUUACAAUAAUUGAGUACUAUAUAGAUAGAUGAAAAUAAUUAUGGUAUAUAGCAACUCAAAGAUUGACUUUCUUCUACUGAUUAAUCAAAGUUCACCUCUAUUAUUCUCAAAUCAGAACACAGCUCUUCAUGCCUAAGCUACAGUUAAUUAGAUCAAAUUACUCAAAUGACUUGCAUAUGUGGACUUCAACUAAUCUACAUCAAACACUUAUUGAUGAAACCAACUAAUGAAUAAUUUAAAAGUAAUUUACACAAAUGUUGGUCUUCUAUAAAUUCAUGUUAUCAUACCCUUUUGAUUUAGACCUACCAUCUAAACAACUACAAAGAAAAUUAUGAAUUUCACAAAGUUUACUUUCAUAGAAGAAGGAAAUGGCAAGUAAUACAGCACCCUAAAAGAGUAAAGUUAAAAAGGAUAUCAAAGUUUCUUUGUUCAACAAGACACCUCAAACAUUUUAAAUCGAGAAAAGGCAAUUGGAGAGAAGGAUUGAGUCCUUGAGAAGAAAAUAUUUUAAAUCGAGAAAGGCAACAGGAGAGAAGGAAUGAGUCUAUGAAAAGAAACUUACUACCACCAAAUAACAGAAUUAUAGCUCUUCCUCACUUCAACUCCAGCCUGAAUUAGAAACAACAUAAAAGAAUUAUAAGUGCAACAAAGAUUACACUGGCAUUACAAUAGAAAAUUGAUAAAAAGGCAAAUGUUCUUCAGCUCGGAAGUAAUUAAAUCUACAAAACUAAGAAUAGAUAGAGAAACUACAAGAAAAAAAUACUUGGAUUGUCCAAUAGUCAAUAUAAUGAGGGCGCUGAGACGAACACAUUUAU